rnacentral:rRNA from 1 species
GCCCAAGAGAUCGGGAUAACACCUGGAAACAGAUGCUAAUACCGGAUAACAACAGAUGAUGCCUAUCAACUGUUUAAAAGAUGGUUCUGCUAUCACUCUUGGAUGGACCUGCGGUGCAUUAGCUAGUUGGUAGGGUAACGGCCUACCAAGGCGAUGAUGCAUAGCCGAGUCGAGAGACUGAUCGGCCACAUUGGGACUGAGACACGGCCCAAACUCCUACGGGAGGCAGCAGUUC